AGGAAGUUUGAUCCUUGCUUAGCUUUUAGUCUGUGUUGAGGUACAUGAAAGUUAAUGCUUAGUUGAAAAUUAUAGGAGUAUAGCAGUGUGGUUGAGAGUUCUCAGUAUACAGGAUUGGUAUAUAGAAUAGUUUCUGAUCCAGCAAUCAGAUAUGUAGUCCAGGCUAAAACUGUGCCAGCAGCCGCGGUUAUACUGAUAGGGUAAUUAAAAGCGUAUCGGGAGUGAGGUACUAAGAUCUUGUAGUAGAUAAUUUUACUUAGUAUAAAAGGUGAAAUUUGUUAUUUCAUGGUAGAAUUGUUUUGAGAUGGUGAUUUUGAUUCUUCGAAGUCUAGGAGGUAAAAUAGGAUUAGAUACCCUAAUAUACUUAGAUGAAAUAUAUAAAAUCUUUGAGUAGUAAACAGUUAUAAGCUCGAAACUCAAAGGAUUUGGCGGUACUUAAGUCUAGUUAGAGGAAUUUGUGCAGUAAACGAUAAUCCGCGAGUAUCUAGCCUUACUUUGUAAGUAUCAGUUUGUAUACCGCCAUUAUUAGGUAAUUUUUAUAGAGAGUUACUGGGAUUGAGAGGAGUCAAGUAUAUUAGGUCAAGGUGCAGCUAAUAGUGAGGAUGUUGUGAAUUACAAUGAGAUAAGUAAUAUACGAAUAGAUUAUGGGAGUGAGUAAUUUUGAAGGUGGAUUUAAUUGUAAAGUAUGUAUAUAAUGCAUGCUUGGUAAAAGCUCUUGAGUAUGUACACAUCGCCCGUCGUUCUCACUUUAAGGUGAGGUAAGUCGUAACAUAGUAGAUGUGUUGGAAAAGGCAUCUAGUAAUAU
rnacentral:ncRNA from 1 species